rnacentral:lncRNA from 1 species
AGGUAUCGAACUCAGGACCUUGUGCUUGCAAGGGAGGUGGCGGCACCACUGAGCUAAAUCCCUGGCCCCCUGUUAUGUAUAUCAGCCGCAUGGGAACCCACUGACAAAUCAGCCUGGCAGCCUCAGCAGCCCCUGUGAGGAUCAAGCACCAGCGGGCCUACAUGGACUGGGGUGGUCCUGCCCUCCAGGAACUCUGAGGAACAUCUCACACCAAUUGUGGGCAAGUUGGACACCAACUGAGCAGAACUUACCCAAAACAGCAUUGGACAGAAGUCAAACACAUUGGCAGCACACAGAAAAUUAGCAAAAAUUUGGAUUCCUCCACACAAGAGGGUUUCCAGCUCAUUGAACAAUUAGGAUCAUUUGGCAAAGUUGAGCCUACAUCUGUGUAGAGCGGCAGCAAUUGGCCGCCUUCUGCUUUCUUUAGGUAUCAACCUGGCUGCUGUGGUUGUCUGCCCCCAAAAAGCCUACCUUGAAGUUCAGAGCUAACUCAGAGCCUGCAUAUCCUGGUGCAAGGAACAGGAAGAGAAGGAAGAAGGCAGGGAGAAAGGGCAUAGAUUAGAAAUCUCCCAGGCCUAGCAGAUCGAGCAUUCCCCAGAGCCCAGCCCAUGUUCUGGAAAGCUGGAUUUGCAAUGUUUCUGUGACCUUCUCCACCUGAGAAAGUACCUCAUUCUCUCUCAUUGUUGCUCCAGCAGGCGGAGGCUGAAGAGCUUAUUUGACUGCUACCCUACUGCUAUGUAGACUGU